GAUGAACGCUGGCGGCGUGCCUAAUACAUGCAAGUCGAGCGAAUGGAUUAAGAGCUUGCUCUUAUGAAGUUAGCGGCGGACGGGUGAGUAGCACGUGAGUAACCUGCCCAUAAGACUGGGAUAACUCCGGGAAACCGGGGCUAAUACCGGAUAACAUUUUGAACCGCAUGGUUCGAAAUUGAAAGGCGGCUUCGGCUGUCACUUAUGGAUGGACCCGAGUCGCAUUAGCUAGUUGGUGAGGUAACGGCCCACCAAGGCAACGAUGCGUAGCCGACCUGAGAGGGUGAUCGGCCACACUGGGACUGAGACACGGCCCAGACUCCUACGGGAGGCAGCAGUAGGGAAUCUUCCGCAAUGGACGAAAGUCUGACGGAGCAACGCCGCGUGAGUGAUGAAGGCUUUCGGGUCGUAAAACUCUGUUGUUAGGGAAGAACAAGUGCUAGUUGAAUAAGCUGACACCUUGACGGUACCUAACCAGAAAGCCACGGCUAACUACGUGCCAGCAGCCGCCGUAA
rnacentral:rRNA from 1 species